rnacentral:rRNA from 1 species
CUAGUUGGUGAGGUAACGGCUCACCAAGGCUAAGACGGGUAGCUGGUCUGAGAGGAUGAUCAGCCACACUGGGACUGCGACACGGCCCAGACUCCUACGGGAGGCAGCAGUGGGGAAUAUUGGGCAAUGGGCGAAAGCCUGACCCAGCCACGCCGCGUGAGUGAUGAAGGCCUUCGGGUCGUAAAGCUCUGUGGGGAGGGACGAACAACCCAGGGAUUAAUACCUCUGGAUCUGACGGUACCUCCUUAGCAAGCACCGGCUAACCCUGUGCCAGCAGCCGCGGUAAUACAGGGGGUGCAAACGUUGCUCGGAAUUAUUGGGCGUAAAGCGCGCGUAGGCGGCUACUUAAGUCGGAUGUGAAAGCCCUUGGCUCAACUAAGGAAGUGCACCCGAAACUGAGUGGCUUGAGUACUAAAGAGGGUCGCGGAAUUCCCGGUGUAGAGGUGAAAUUCGUAGAUAUCGGGAGGAACACCGGUGGCGAAGGCGGCGACCUGGGUAGAUACUGACGCUGAGGCGCGAAAGCGUGGGGAGCAACCAGGAUUAGAUACCCUGGUAGUCCACGCCGUAAACGAUGGGUGCUAGAUGUUUCUGGUAUUGACCCCGGAGGCGUCGUAGCUAACGCGUUAAGCACCCCGCCUGGGAAGUACGGCCGCAAGGCUAAAACUCAAAGGAAUUGACG